rnacentral:rRNA from 1 species
UACGGGGGGGGUAAGCGUUGUUCGGAAUUACUGGGCGUAAAGGGCUCGUAGGCGGCCAACUAAGUCGGACGUGAAAUCCCUCAGCUUAACUGGGGAACUGCGUCCGAUACUGGACGGCUUGGAUUUGGGAGAGGGAUGCGGAAUUCCAGGUGUAGCGGUGAAAUGCGUAGAUAUCUGGAGGGACACCGGUGGCGAAGGCGGCAUCCUGGACCAAUAUUGACGCUGAGGAGCGAAAGCCAGGGGAGCAAACGGG